ensembl:rRNA 5S_rRNA 5S ribosomal RNA
GUCUCUGGCCAUACCACCCUGAACGCGUCCGAUCUCCGCUGAUCUUAGAAGCUAAGCAGAGUCGGGCCUGGUUAGGGUGCGGUAGGCU